rnacentral:rRNA from 1 species
AUGAACGCUGGCGGCGUGCCUAAUACCUGCAAGUCGCGCGAACGGACGAGAAGCUUGCUUCUCUGAUGUUAGCGGCGGACGGGUGAGUAACACGUGGAUAACCUACCUAUAAGACUGGGAUAACUUCGGGAAACCGGAGCUAAUACCGGAUAAUAUUUUGAACCGCAUGGUUCAAAAGUGAAAGACGGUCUUGCUGUCACUUAUAGAUGGAUCCGCGCUGCAUUAGCUAGUUGGUAAGGUAACGGCUUACCAAGGCAACGAUGCAUAGCCGACCUGAGAGGGUGAUCGGCCACACUGGAACUGAGACACGGUCCAGACUCCUACGGGAGGCAGCAGUAGGGAAUCUUCCGCAAUGGGCGAAAGCCUGACGGAGCAACGCCGCGUGAGUGAUGAAGGUCUUCGGAUCGUAAAACUCUGUUAUUAGGGAAGAACAUAUGUGUAAGUAACUGUACACAUCUUGACGGUACCUAAUCAGAAAGCCACGGCUAACUACGUG